GUUCUAAGUACGCAGACUAAAUGCGCGCUAUCCUAGCGCAACGCCUGCAUGACCUAUGUCCUGUAAG
rfam:Virgibacillus soli strain PL205 scaffold000014, whole genome shotgun sequence.